CCUACGGGAGGCAGCAGUGGGGGAUAUUGCACAAUGGUGGGAACCCUGAUGCAGCGACGCCGCGUGGGUGAAGAAGCGCCUCGGCGCGUAAAGCUCUGUCAGCAGGGAAGAAAAUGACGGUACCUGUAGAAGAAGCCCCGGCUAACUACGUGCCAGCAGCCGCGGUACUACGUAGGGGGCAAGCGUUAUCCGGAUUUACUGGGUGUAAUGGGGGCGUAGACGGCGGUGCAAGCCAGGAGUGAAAGCCCGGGGCCCAACCCCGGGACUGCUCUUGAAACUGCGUGGCUGGAGUGCAGGAGGGGCAGGCGGAAUUCGUGGUGUAGCGGUGAAAUGCGUAGAUAUCAGGAGGAACACCGAUGGCGAAGGCAGCCUGCUGGACUGCAACUGACGUUGAGGCCCGAAAGCGUGGGGAGCAAACAGGAUUAGAUACCCCAGUAGUC
rnacentral:rRNA from 1 species